rnacentral:rRNA from 1 species
AUUGAACGCUGGCGGCAGGCCUAACACAUGCAAGUCGAGCGAGUGGCGGACGGGUGAGUAAUGUAUGGGGACUGCCCGAUCGAGGGGGAUAACUACUGGAAACGGUGGCUAAUACCGCAUACUAUCGGAUAACCCAUAUGGGAUUAGCUAGUAGGGGGGGUAAAGGCUCACCUAGGCGACGAUGCCUAGCGGGUCUGAGAGGAUGAUCGGCCACACUGGGACUGAGACACGGCCCAAACUCCUACGGAGGCAGCAGGGGGGAAUAUUGCACAAUGGACGAAAGCCUGAUGCAGCAAUGCCGCGUGUAUGAAGAAGGCUUUCGGGUUGUAAAGUACUUUCAGUCGGGAGGCGUUACCUACAGAAAAAGCAACGGCUAACUACGUGCCAGCAGCCGCGGUAAUUC